GACGAACGCUGGCGGCGUGCUUAACACAUGCAAGUCGAACGGUGAAGCGCCUUCCUUUUUGGUGGGUGUGGAUGAGUGGCGAACGGGUGAGUAACACGUGAGUAACCUGCCCCCUUCUUCUGGAUAACCGCAUGAAAGUGUGGCUAAUACGGGAUAUUCUGGGUCUGUCGCAUGAUGGGUCUGGGAAAGAUAUUGUUUCGGUGGGGGAUGGUCUCGCGGCCUAUCAGCUUGUUGGUGGGGUGAUGGCCUACCAAGGCGGUGACGGGUAGCCGGCCUGAGAGGGUGGACGGUCACACUGGGACGGAGACACGGCCAAGACUCCGAGGGGAGGCAGCAGUGGGGAAUAUUGCACAAUGGGCGCAAGCCUGAUGCAGCGACGCCGCGGGAGGGAUGGAGGCCUUCGGGUUGUGAACCUCUUUCGCCAGUGAAGCAGGCCUGCCUCGUUUGUGGGUGGGUUGACGGUAGCUGGAUAAGAAGCGCCGGCUAACUACGUG
rnacentral:rRNA from 1 species